GGUCGUGCUGAAGACCCGUUUCCUGGGCUACAGAAGGGGAAUUAGUUCCUUAUUCUUCUGCCUAGGGAAAAAAGUUCCUGGACCUCGGGCAGAGAGUGCCUCAUGCAUGCGCACAUAGACAUCCCUCCGCCUCCCACGGUAAAGUCCACCAAGAAGCCAAAAAAUAUAUAUAUAUACAUAUACAUAUAUAUAUAUAUAUACACAUAGGAUGGUAAAGGUUUGUAUUUUAGUCUAUCAAACAGGUGCUGAGGUGCUAAUCACACACACACGCACACAUACACACUUGCAUAAAGACUAAGGCAAAGAAGAGAUGCUCUGGGCACCUAGCAAGUGACAUUUGUUUUCAGAGAUUGGAUAGAAUGGAUAGUGGGCUAAAGUGUGUUAUUUUCUUCUUUGCAUAAU
rnacentral:lncRNA from 1 species